rnacentral:rRNA from 1 species
GGACGAACGCUGGCGGCGUGCCUAACACAUGCAAGUCGAGCGAGGAGAUUCCUUCGGGAUGAUCCUAGCGGCGGACGGGUGAGUAACACGUGGGCAACCUGCCUCAUAGAGAGGAAUAGCCUUCCGAAAGGGAGAUUAAUACCUCAUAACAUUGCAGUUUCGCAUGGAACAGCAAUUAAAGGAGUAAUCCGCUAUGAGAUGGGCCCGCGGCGCAUUAGCUAGUUGGUGAGGUAACGGCUCACCAAGGCGACGAUGCGUAGCCGACCUGAGAGGGUGAUCGGCCACAUUGGGACUGAGACACGGCCCAGACUCCUACGGGAGGCAGCAGUGGGGAAUAUUGCACAAUGGGGGAAACCCUGAUGCAAGCAACGCCGCGUGAGUGAUGACGGCCUUCGGGUUGUAAAGCUCUGUCUUCAGGGACGAUAAUGACGGUACCUGAGGAGGAAGCCACGGCUAACUACGUGCCAGCAGCCGC